AUCCUUUGUCAGUUGCUUCAUUUGCAAAUAUUUUCUCCCAUUCUGAGGGUUGUCUUUUGGUCUUGUUUAUGGUUGCCUUUGCUGUGCAAAAGCUUUGAAGUUUCAUUAGGUCCCAUUUGUUUAUUUUUGUUUUUAUUUCCAUUUCUCUAGGAGGUGGGUCAAAAAGGAUCUUGCUGUGAUUUAUAUCAUAGAGUGUUCUGCCUAUGUUUUCCUCUAAGCGUUUGAUAGUGUCUGGCCUUACAUUUAGGUCUUUAAUCCAUUUUGAGUUUACUUUUGUGUAU